rnacentral:rRNA from 1 species
GACGAACGCUGGCGGCGUGCUUAACACAUGCAAGUCGAACGAUGAAGCUGGAGCUUGCUCUAGCGGAUUAGUGGCGAACGGGUGAGUAACACGUGAGCAAUCUGCCCUUGACUCUGGGAUAACUGCGGGAAACUGUAGCUAAUACCGGAUACUUUCACCGGGGGGCAUCCUCUGGUGAUGAAAGAAUUUCGGUCAAGGGAGAGCUCGCGGCCUAUCGGCUUGUUGGUGAGGUAACGGCUCACCAAGGCGACGACGGGUAACCGGCCUGAGAGGGUGACCGGUCACACUGGGACUGAGACACGGCCCAGACUCCUACGGGAGGCAGCAGUGGGGAAUAUUGCACAAUGGGCGCAAGCCUGAUGCAGCAACGCCGCGUGAGGGAUGAAGGCCUUCGGGUUGUAAACCUCUUUUAGCAGGGAAGAAGCGAAAGUGACGGUACCUGCAGAAAAAGCACCGGCUAACUACGUGCCAGCCGCCGCCGUAA